GUAGGGAAUAUUGGGCAAUGGUCGGAAGACUGACCCAGCCAUGCCGCGUGCAGGAAGACGGCCCUCUGGGUUGUAAACUGCUUUUAUCUGGGAAGAAAAAGGCCAUGCGUGGCAAAUUGCCGGUACCAGAUGAAUAAGCACCGGCUAACUCCGUGCCAGCAGCCGCGGUAAUACGGCGGGUGCGAGCGUUGUCCGGAUUUAUUGGGUUUAAAGGGUGCGUAGGCGGCUGAUUAAGUCAGCGGUGAAAGACUUCGGCUUAACCGGAGCAGUGUCGUUGAUACUGGUGGGGUUGAGUGUCGGAGGGGUACAUGGAAUUGAUGGUGUAGCGGUGAAAUGCAUAGAUACCAUCAGGAACACCGAUAGCGAAGGCAUUGUACUGGCCGACAACUGACGCUGAUGCACGAAAGUGUGGGGAUCGAACAGGAUUAGAUACCCGUGUAGUCC
rnacentral:rRNA from 1 species